GCCAGUCAUUGCACAAGAAAGAAGACUUCAACACCCCAAAUACUUGAUGUAUUUUUCAAUUCUAUAAAUGUGUUUUUAAGGGCAGAUAAUACUUAAUAUAUUUUUGGAGUUCGGCCCCUGAGGAUCUUGAUUUGUUAAAAAAGAAUAAUAAAGUUGUUCGGUUAAUUAGCAGGAAACCGGCAAAAGCCGUUACAACACACCCACAAAGAGGGCACUCCGACCGACAUGUCACCUACAAGACCCAAACACACCGCCGAGGAAGAUACCGUCAAGGCUAUCUGCAAUGUCAUCAUCAUCACCUCUCCUCGAGCAUGCGACUCCGACUUCGAUGACGACGACCCAUCAAGACCUUUUC
rnacentral:lncRNA from 1 species